GACGAACGCUGGCGGCGUGCUUAACACAUGCAAGUCGAACGGAAAGGCCUUGCCUUUGUGUGGUGCUCGAGUGGCAAACGGGUGAGUAACACGGGAGUAACCUGCUCUUUACUCUGGGAUACCUCCAGGAAACUGGGGCUAAUACCGGAUAGAAGCCCGCAUUGCUUGGUGUGCGUCGGAAAGUUUCGGCGGUUGGGGAUGUGCCGGCGGAUUAUCAGCGUGUUGGUGGGGUUGUGGUUGACCAAGGCUUUGCCGGGUAGCCGGCCUGGGAGGGUGACCGGCCACAUUGGGACUGGGAUGCGGCCCAGACGCCUACGGGAGGCAGCAGUGGGGAAUAUUGCACAAUGGGCGGAAGCGUGAUGCAGCAACGCCGCGUGCGAGAUGACGGCCUUCGGGUUGUAAACCGCUUUCGCCUGUGACGAAGCGUGAGUGACGGUAAUGGGUAAAGAAGCACCGGCUAACUACGU
rnacentral:rRNA from 1 species